CUGAGAUCUAGAAUGUGUUGGGAGAGAACUGAGAUCUAGAAUGUGUUGGGAGAUAACUGAGAUCUAGAAUGUGUUGGGAGAGAACUAAGAUCUAGAAUGUGUUGGGAGAGAACUGAGAUCUAGAUUGUGUUGGGAGAUAACUGAGAUCUAGAAUGUGUUGGGAGAGAACUGAGAUCUAGAAUGUGUUGGGAGAUAACUGAGAUCUAUAAUGUGUUGGGAGAGAACUGAGAUCUAGAAUGUGUUGGGAGAUAACUGAGAUACUGAGAUCUAGAAUGUGUUUGGAGAGAACUGAGAUCUAUAAUGUGUUGGGAGAUAACUGAGAUCUAGAAUGUGUUGGGAGAUAACUGAGAUACUGAGAUCUAGAAUGUGUUUGGAGAGAACUGAGAUCUAUAAUGUGUUGGGAGAUAACUGAGAUCUAGAAUGUGUUGGGAGAUAACUGAGAUACUGAGAUCUAGAAUGUGUUGGGAGAGAACUGAGAUCUAGAAUGUGUUGGGAGAGAACUGAGAUACUGAGAUCUAGAAUGUGUUGGGAGAGAACUGAGAUCUAUAAUGUGUUGGGAGAUAACUGAGAUCUAUAAUGUUUUGGGAGAGAACUGAGAUCUAUAAUGUGUUGGGAGAUAACUGAGAUCUAGAAUGUGAUGGGAGAGAACUGAGAUCUAUAAUAUCUAGAAUGUGUUGGGAGAUAACUGAGAUCUAUAAUGUGUUGGGAGAUAACUGAGAUCUAUAAUGUGUUGGGAGAGAACUGAGAUCUAGAAUGUGUUGGGAGAGAACUGAGAUCUAGAAUGUGUUGGGAGAGAACUGAGAUACUGAGAUCUAGAAUGUGUUGGGAGAGAACUGAGAUCUAGAAUGUGUUAGGAGAGAACUGAGAUACUGAGAUCUAUAAUGUGUUGGGAGAGAACUGAGAUCUAGAAUGUGUUGGGAGAGAACUGAGAUCUAGAAUGUGUUGGGAGAGAACUGAGAUCUAGAAUGUGUUGGGAGAUAACUGAGAUCUAGAAUGUGUUGGGAGAUAACUGAGAUACUGAGAUCUAGAAUGUGUUGGGAGAUAACUGAGAUCUAUAAUGUGAUGGGAAAGAACUGAGAUCUAGAAUGUGUUGGGAGAGAACUGAGAUCUAUAAUGUGUUGGGAGAUAACUGAGAUCUAUAAUAUCUAGAAUGUGUUGGGAGAGAACUGAGAUCUAGAAUGUGUUGGGAGAGAACUGAGAUCUAGAAUGUGUUGGGAGAUAACUGAGAUCUAUAAUGCUUAUCAAUAUUCCUUUCUACAUAUAUAUAGAUAUAUAUCUGUAUGUGUUGUGUCCACCUCAGUAUAUUGCAGAUGAUAUGAACUGUUCCUUAUAUCUAUAGUACGUUUUAUUGCACAUUUUACCGACGGCUUUAUUUACACACCUACCUCUCCAGCCCCCCUUCUCUCAAUCCAUAUUGUUGUUGAUUUUAAUAAUAUUCUUCUUAUUAUUAUUGUCAUAUUGUGGAAAUAUUCCAUUGAAGGAAUUCAUGUUAUUUUAAUGCAAAAAAAAAUCUGUAAUUUGAGUGCUGCAAGCAGAAAGGCUGAGGUCUAUCUUCAUACUCGAUAACUGUAUGCAAUCAUAUUGUAGCUCUUUGACAUCUUAUCCUUUUAUGACCAAAUACACACCGUGUUAAACCCACUAUGCCACCAAGAAUGACCUUCAUGUAUUCAUUGAUUUUUCUUCUGUUUUUUGCUGUUGCUCAAAAUCGUGGAGAAACGUAGCUGACAACAAAAAAAAAAAAACAUACUUGAAUCUAUUCAGUAAAUCAAAUUAAUAAAUACAUUUUACUGUAGUAGUCGGAAAAGCGACACGAUUUUUUUGUUAGAAUUUUAACUUUGUUAUCAGAAUGACUUGUUUCUCCACAGUGGUAAUAGUAAUGACCUGGUGGUAUUACCAUUACAUGUGUGUCUUAAUGAGCAGGUCGGAUUUAUCCUAGCCUAGAGGUCAGACGGCUAAGGAAGUUAUCAUUCUCUGAAUCUCAAACCAACCCCUAGGCCUAGGGGAUAGGGAUAGGGGAUAAGGCUAGGGGAUAAGGAUAGGGGAUAAGGAUAGGGGAUAAGGAUAGGGGAUAGGGCUAGGGGAUAAGGAUAGGGAAUAAGGAUAGGGGAUAAGGAUAGGGGAUAGGGCUAGGGGAUAAGGAUAGGGAAUAAGGAUAGGGGAUAAGGCUAGGGGAUAAGGAUAGGGGAUAAGGAUAGGGGAUAGGGCUAGGGGAUAAGGAUAGGGGAUAGGGCUAGGGGAUAAGGAUAGGGGAUAAGGAUAGGGCUAGGGGAUAGGACUAGUGGACAUGGGAUAGGGGUUAGGGCAAGAGGAUAGGGCUAGGGAAUAGGACUAGGGGCUAGGGGAUAGGGGAUAGGACUAGGGGAUAGGGGUUAGGGCUAGGGCAUAGGGGUUAGGGCUAGGGGAUAGGACUAGGGGAUGGGGAUAGGGGUUAGGGGAUAUGGUUAGGGGAUAUGGUUAGGGAGUAGGGCUAGGGGUUAGGACUGGGGAUAGGGGUUAGGACUAGGGGAUAGGGGUUAGGACUAGGGGAUAGGGGUUAGGACUAGGGGAUAGGGGUUAGGGCUAGGGCAUAGGGGUUAGGGCUAGGGGAUAGGGGAUAGGGUUAGGGUUAGAGGAUAGGGGUUAGGGCUAGAGGAUAGGACUUGUGGACAGGGCUAGGGAAUAGGGCUUGGGGGUAGGGGUUAGGGCUAGAGGAUAGGGCUGGGGAAUAGGACUAGGGGCUAGGGGAUAGGGGAUAGGACUAGGGGAUAUGGGUUAAGGCUAGAGGAUAUGGGUUAGGGCUAGGGGAUAGGACUAGGGGAUAGGGCUUGGGGAUAGGGGUUAGGGGAUAUGGUUAGGGAGUAGGGCUAGGGGUUAGGACUGGGGAUAGGGGUUAGGACUAGGGGAUAGGGCUAGGGGACUAGGGGUUAGGGGUAGGGGACUAGAGGAUAGGGGUUAGGGCUAGGGGAUAGGGGUUAGGGCUAGAGGAUAGGGGUUAGGGCUAGGGGAUAGGGGUUAGGACUAGGGGAUAGGGGUUAGGACUAGGGGAUAGGGGUUAGGGCUAGAGGAUAAGGGUUAGGGCUAGGGGAUAGGGGUUAGGGCUAGGGGAUAGGGGUUAGGGCUAGGGGAUAGGGGUUAGGACUAGGGGAUAGGGGUUAGGACUAGGGGAUAGGGGUUAGGGCUAGAGGAUAGGGGUUAGGGCUAGGGGAUAGGGGUUAGGGCUAGAGGAUAGGGGUUAGGGCUAGGGGUUAGGGCUAGGGGAUAGGGGAUAGGGAUAUGGAUAGGGGGUAGGGAUAGGGGAUAGGAAUAGUAGACCUAGGACCCCCUGCCAUGAUCAGAGAUCAGAUACUAUGUCCCCAAUGGCACCUUAUUCCCUAUAUAGUGCACUACUUUUGACCAGUGGUGCACUAUAUAAAGGGAAUAGGGUUCUAUAGGGCCCUGGUCAUAAGUAGUGCACUAUAUAGGGAAUAGGGUUCCAUAGGGCUCUGGUCUAAAGUAGUGCACUAUAUAAAGGGAAUAGGGUUCUAUAGGGCCCUGGUCAUAAGUAGUGCACUAUAUAGGGAAUAGGGUUCCAUAGGGUUUUGGUCUAAAGUAGUGCACUAUAUAGGGAAUAGGGUUCUAUAGGGCCCUGGUCUAAAGUAGUGCACUAUAUAGGGAAUAGGGUUCCAUAGGGUUUUGGUCUAAAGUAGUGCACUAUAUAGGGAAUAGGGUGCCAUUUGGAAGGCAGAGAGACAAAAGGCCUGUUGUAUGUGAUCAUAGCUUUAAGUUAUUUUAUUCAUGUUGUUUAUUCCUCAAACAUUCCAACUGCCAACUCAUCUCGUAUGAUAAUAUCAUUGUUGUUACAAAUGCUUGUUAUUAUUGUGUUUUUGUUAUUGUUGUUUUGUUAUUGUUUACCCUUUUUGUUCUAUGAUUUUCCUUGUCUUUACGGUUUUAAUCUUGAACAUGUUGAACAAUGAAGUAAUUUUCAUUUUAUUUGAUCAGCUGUGAAUUUGUACUGACUGUGUCGAUCUGGUCGAUUUGGUUGUGUGUGUGUGUGUGUGUGUGUGUGUGUGUGUGUGUGUGUGUGUGUGUGUGUGUGUGUGUGUGGUUUGGCUGUGAUGUAAUGCUGUAGUUAGUAAUAACAUAGUCAUAGGUUAGCUAGUUAGUUAGUGUGACACCUUGUCAGUCCCUCUCUCUCUCUCCUUUCUCUUCUUCUAUAAAUCACACGCCUCCAUCACCUGUUCGUCUGCGUCAUGUGUAAUCUCAGGGGGCGGGCGAGGAGGACUGAUCUAUCCUAACACCAAAAAAAAUACAAUUAUAAAAGCACAAAUAAAGAUUAGUCACAAUAUCACAGAAAAAAAACCUUCCUAUGACUGAAGCACUAGACAACAC
rnacentral:lncRNA from 1 species